rnacentral:rRNA from 1 species
GUGUCAGCCGCCGCGGUAAUACGGAGGGUGCAAGCGUUGUUCGGAAUUACUGGGCUUAAAGGGCGUGUAGGCGGAGUGUUAGGUGUCGUGUGAAAUCCCCGAGCUCAACUCGGGAAUGGCAUGGCAAACCGGCAUUCUUGAGGCAGGUAGAGGUGACUGGAACGACUGGUGGAGCGGUGAAAUGCGUAGAUAUCAGUUGGAACGCCGGAGGCGAAAGCGGGUCGCUGGGCCUGUCCUGACGCUGAUACGCGAAAGCGUGGGGAGCGAAGAGGAUUAGAUACCCUCGUAGUCC